GAAAACGACUGCUAAGACUGGAUAGGAGAUAAGAAGGCAUCUUCUUCUUUUUAAAAGACCUAGCAAUAGGUAUGCUUAGGGAGGAGCUUGCGUCACAUUAGUUAGUUGGUGGGGUAAAGGCCUACCAAGACUAUGAUGUGUAGCCGGGCUGAGAGGUUGAACGGCCACAUUGGGACUGAGACACGGCCCAAACUCCUACGGGAGGCAGCAGUAGGGAAUUUUCGGCAAUGGAGGAAACUCUGACCGAGCAACGCCGCGUGAACGAUGAAGUAUUUCGGUACGUAAAGUUCUUUUAUUAGGGAAGAAUAAAUGAUGGAAAAAUCAUUCUGACGGUACCUAAUGAAUAAGCCCCGGCUAACUAUGUGCCAGCAGCCGCGGUAAUACAUAGGGGGCAAGCGUUAUCCGGAAUUAUUGGGCGUAAAGGGUGCGUAGGCGGUUAAAUAAGUUUAUGGUCUAAGUGCAAUGCUCAACAUUGUGAUGCUAUAAAAACUGUUUAGCUAGAGUAAGAUAGAGGCAAGUGGAAUUCCAUGUGUAGUGGUAAAAUGCGUAAAUAUAUGGAGGAACACCAGUAGCAAAGGCGGCUUGCUGGGUCUUUACUGACGCUGAGGCACGAAAGCGUGGGGAGCAAACAGGAUUAGAUACCCUGGUAGUCCACGCCGUAAACGAUGAGUACUAAACGUUGGGUAAAACCAGUGUUGAAGUUAACACAUUAAGUACUCCGCCUGAGUAGUACGUACGCAAGUAUGAAACUUAAAGGAAUUGACGGGACUCCGCACAAGCGGUGGAUCAUGUUGUUUAAUUCGAAGGUACCCGAAAAACCUCACCAGGUCUUGACAUGCUUCUGCAAAGCUGUAGAAACACAGUGGAGGUUAUCAGUUGCACAGGUGGUGCAUGGUUGUCGUCAGCUCGUGUCGUGAGAUGUUGGGUUAAGUCCCGCAACGAGCGCAACCCUUAUUGUUAGUUACCAGCACGUAAUGGUGGGGACUUUAGCAAGACUGCCGGUGAUAAAUUGGAGGAAGGUGGGGACGACGUCAAAUCAUCAUGCCCCUUAUGACCUGGGCUACAAACGUGAUACAAUGGCUGUUACAAAGGGUAGCUGAAACGCAAGUUUUUGGCGAAUCUCAAAAAAACAGUCUCAGUUCGGAUUGAAGUCUGCAACUCGACUUCAUGAAGUUGGAAUCGCUAGUAAUCGCGAAUCAGCAUGUCGCGGUGAAUACGUUCUCGGGGUUUGUACACACCGCCCGUC
rnacentral:rRNA from 1 species